CGCAGCGACUGCGGCGAAGAUGCAGCCCCCGCACUGCGUUCUGGGCUGCCGUUAGGCGUUGGGCCCGCGCCCCGCCCUUGACGUCACCGCCGCGGCGGCCCGGCCCCGCCCUCGUCUCCAUGGAGACCAGCAAGCUUCCCGGCGCGCUCCUGCCACCCGCAGUAGUGCGGCUGCUCCCGCCUGCUCCUCUCGCGCUGCUGUGGACGCCGUGAGCCAGGGUCUCCCAGACCCUUAUUAACAUGCAGACUCGCAGACGCCCUUCUCUGAAGAGUCAGGCAGGCCAGCAAUGCUGGACUACAGUGACUCCCGGCUCCUUUCCUAGUUCAGAGGCUUUUGGCUUAAGGUUCCACCCGGAAGUAUGGUUCUCAACUACACACUCAGAUCACCUGGUACACUUUAAAAAAAAAUACCAGUGCCUUCUCUCAGACCAAUUGAAUCCGAAGUGCUGAAGGAGCAAACCUGGCAGGUGUGGCCCACAGGCUCUCUUAAAGCAUCAUGGCCAAAGAAAUCAUCCCUCCUCACUCCUCCCCAACACGGCAAAAUGCUUACCCUAUCUUCAUACAAGGGAGUUGCAAGCAGAAGGCUACAGGAACUCAGAACUCAGCUGCCAACCUGGUCUGAGAGCUGAGUUUACAUCCCUUUGUCUCGCAUGCCCUGUGACUUCCCAGUACUCUCAGCAGGCCUCCGCUGCAGUGGGGAGCAAGGGCUGAUACCAAAGAGGUGGCCUUUGUGGGGAGACGUGGGGUUUCUGUGAGGCUAAGCC